rnacentral:sRNA from 1 species
GUGGUCUGCGAAGAGUGCCGCAUCACCGAGUGGGUCAGCGUCUGCAAGGUCUCGCCCUGCCGCCUAGGCUGGAGUGCAGUGGUGCAAUCAAGGCUUGCUGCAGCCUCGACAUCCAGAGCUCAAGCGAUUCUCCCACCUCAGCCUCCCGAGUAGUUGGGACUACAGGACUACAGACGCAUGCCACCACGACCGUCUUUUUUUUUUUUUUAGAGGCGGAGUCUCGCUUUGUAUUUUAAGCUGGUCUCUGAACUCCUGGGCUCAAGUUAUCCUCCCGCCUCCAAUUCCCAAAGUGCUGGGGUUACAGAGACUGAGCCACUGCCCCUGGCCAGAACACACUAAAUUUUUUAAAAGAUCCCGUUUAAAACUAGGAAUUGGGGGACCUAGCCUCCUGACAAGAGCUAAUAUAAUUAUGUCAUUGUGAUUUUCUUUUUAAAACUG